rnacentral:rRNA from 1 species
UCGUGGGGUGACCUGUCUGCCUGAUCGCGAUAACGAACGAGACCUUAUCCUGCUAAAUAGCCCGUAUUGCUUUGGCAGUACGCCGGCUUCUUAGAGGGACUAUCGGUGUAAGCCGAUGGAAGUUUGAGGCAAUAACA